AACGAACGCUGGCGGCGCGUCUUAACCAUGCAAGUCGAGCGGCAGGCAGCAAUGCCGAGAGCGGCGGACUGGUGAGUAACACGUGGAUAACGUACCCCGAUGUCCGGGACAGCCUGUAGAAAUAGAGGGUAAUACCGGAUAGAUCACUGUUUACGUGAGGUAGACAGCGGGAAAGGAGCUUCGGCUCCGCGACGGGAUCGGUCUGCGGCCCAUCAGCUGGACGGCGGGGUAAAGGCCCGCCGUGGCGAGGACGGGUAUCCGGCCUGAGAGGGCGGACGGACACAUUGGGACUGGGAUACGGCCCAGACUCCUACGGGAGGCAGCAGGUAAGAAUAUUCCGCAAUGGGGGGAACCCUGACGGAGCGACGCCGCGUGAACGAAGAAGGCCGGAAGGUUGUAAAGUUCUUUUCUGUCCGAGGAAUAAGUUUCGGAGGAAAUGCCGGGACGGUGACGGUAGGGCAGGAAUAAGCACCGGCUAAUUACGUG
rnacentral:rRNA from 1 species